CUAAGAAUAUUCCGCAAUGGACGAAAGUCUGACGGAGCGACGCCGCGUGGAUGAUGAAGGCCGGAAGGUUGUAAAAUCCUUUUGUCGGGGAAGAAUAAGCGCGGGAGGGAAUGCCCGCGUGAUGACAUGAACCGGCGAAUAAGCCCCGGCUAACUACGUGCCAGCAGCCGCGGUAACACGUAGGGGGCGAGCGUUGUUCGGAAUUACUGGGCGUAAAGGGCAUGUAGGCGGUCUUGUAAGCCUGACGUGAAAGGCUAUGGCUUAACCAUGGCACUGCGUUGGGAACUGCGGGACUUGAAUCACGGAGGGGGAACUGGAAUUCCAGGUGUAGGGGUGAAAUCUGUAGAUAUCUGGAAGAACACCAGUGGCGAAGGCGAGUUCCUGGCCGAUGAUUGACGCUGA
rnacentral:rRNA from 1 species